rnacentral:rRNA from 1 species
GAUGAACGCUAGCUACAGGCUUAACACAUGCAAGUCGAGGGGUAACAAGAGAAAAGCUUGCUUUUCUUGUUGACGACCGGCGCACGGGUGAGUAACGCGUAUCCAACCUGCCUAUAACUAGGGAAUAACCUUGCGAAAGUAAGACUAAUACCCUAUGAUUUCCUUUGAUGGCAUCAGAUUAGGAAUAAAGAUUUAUCGGUUAUAGAUGGGGAUGCGUCUGAUUAGCUUGUUGGCGGGGUAACGGCCCACCAAGGCAACGAUCAGUAGGGGUUCUGAGAGGAAGGUCCCCCACAUUGGAACUGAGACACGGUCCAAACUCCUACGGGAGGCAGCAGUGAGGAAUAUUGGUCAAUGGGCGGAAGCUUGAACCAGCCAAGUAGCGUGCAGGAUGACGGCCCUAUGGGUUGUAAACUGCUUUUAUACAGGAAUAAAGUUAGCCACGUGUGGUUAUUUGUAGGUACUGUAUGAAUAAGGACCGGCUAAUUCCGUGCCAGCCGCCGCGGUAA